rnacentral:lncRNA from 1 species
CAACAACACAGAAGUUUUAGUCUUAUUUCCAUUUUCCAGACACAGAGAUGUUGUUCAUGUCAAAGGUGAAUCACAGGACACAGUGGAUCAGGAUGACACUUGGAUAUCCACGGAGGACGUGACAAGAACCCUUGAUGAAAAUAGAGAAGAUGGCAAUUAGCAUGACUGAGGCUAAAGAACUUGAAAGCUGUCAGAGGUUAUCAUCCAUGCUCAUCGGAAACAAAGUGAACACAAGGUUGCCUUGCCUCAUCAUACUGCCGAGAAAUGCUGUGGUGAAACUCCACCCCCGUGUUGAAGCUGACUUGGAUUCCGUGUCUGAGAAGGCCUGAUUCAGCC